AAUAAAUGCAAUAAUGCAUUAAAUCAAAUCCAUAAAGAAACAAUUAUCUAUGGAUGAUGAAGAAUAUUUAUAUUACAAAUAAAUUAUUAUAAUAGUUUGUCAUUUAAACUCUUAAACUCAAACCAAAGCUACAAUGCAGUUGUUACUCGUCCUUACAAUAAUAAUCUUCCUUCAUGUAACUGAUGUGUUGUCGAUUAUAUCGUACGUAUGGGACGUGGCUGAAGCUAUAUUGGAAAUAAAGGCAGACAUAUUAAAUAGGACCGGUUACAAAAUAAAGAAUACAACAGGGAAACUCCAGACGUACGUGAAUCUUCUUGAGAUUGCUACAGGGUUCUUGUUUCCAAAUAAAACCCUACCUGAUCUAUCAAAAUUGUUAGAAUUGAAAUAAAUGAAAAUAAAAUUAUAGUUUUUAUAAGGAA